UACGAAGGGUGCAAGCGUUACUCGGAAUUACUGGGCGUAAAGCGUGCGUAGGUGGUGAGUUAAGUCUGAUGUGAAAUCCCCGGGCUCAACCUGGGAAUGGCAUUGGAUACUGGCUCGCUAGAGUGCGGUAGAGGGUGGUGGAAUUCCCGGUGUAGCAGUGAAAUGCGUAGAGAUCGGGAGGAACAUCUGUGGCGACGGCGGCCACGUGGACCAACACUGACACUGAGGCACGAAAGCGUGGGGAGCAAACAGG
rnacentral:rRNA from 1 species